AGACCCGAAACCCGGUGAUCUAGCCAUGGGCAGGUUGAAGGUUGGGUAACACUAACUGGAGGACCGAACCGACUAAUGUUGAAAAAUUAGCGGAUGACCUGUGGCUGGGGGUGAAAGGCCAAUCAAACCGGGAGAUAGCUGGUUCUCCCCGAAAGCUAUUUAGGUAGCGCCUCGUGAAUUCAUCUCCGGGGGUAGAGCACUGUUUCGGCUAGGGGGCCAUCCCGGCUUACCAACCCGAUGCAAACUGCGAAUACCGGAGAAUGUUAUCACGGGAGACACACGGCGGGUGCUAACGUCCGUCGUGAAGAGGGAAACAACCCAGACCGCCAGCUAAGGUCCCAAAGUCAUGGUUAAGUGGGAAACGAUGUGGGAAGGCCCAGACAGCCAGGAUGUUGGCUUAGAAGCAGCCAUCAUUUAAAGAAAGCGUAAUAGCUCACUGGUCGAGUCGGCCUGCGCGGAAGAUGUAACGGGGCUAAACCAUGCACCGAAGCUGCGGCAGCGAACGUAUCACCCAAGACAACUUUACGGAGUUGACGAUUGACGGAGCGA
rnacentral:rRNA from 6 species